rnacentral:rRNA from 1 species
AACGCUAGCUACAGGCUUAACACAUGCAAGUCGAGGGGAAACGACAUCGAAAGCUUGCUUCCGAUGGGCGUCGACCGGCGCACGGGUGAGUAACGCGUAUCCAACCUGCCCACCACUUGGGGAUAACCUUGCGAAAGUAAGACUAAUACCCAAUGAUAUCUCUAGAAGACAUCUGAAAGGGAUUAAAGGUUUAUCGGUGAUGGAUGGGGAUGCGUCUGAUUAGCUUGUUGGCGGGGUAACGGCCCACCAAGGCGACGAUCAGUAGGGGUUCUGAGAGGAAGGUCCCCCACAUUGGAACUGAGACACGGUCCAAACUCCUACGGGAGGCAGCAGUGAGGAAUAUUGGUCAAUGGGCGAGAGCCUGAACCAGCCAAGUAGCGUGCAGGAUGACGGCCCUAUGGGUUGUAAACUGCUUUUAUAAGGGAAUAAAGUGAGUCUCGUGAGACUUUUUGCAUGUACCUUAUGAAUAAGGACCGGCUAAUUCCGUGCCAGCAGCCGCGGUAAUACGGAAGGUCCGGGCGUUAUCCGGAUUUAUUGGGUUUAAAGGGAGCGUAGGCCGGAGAUUAAGCGUGUUGUGAAAUGUAGACGCUCAACGUCUGCACUGCAGCGCGAACUGGUUUCCUUGAGUACGCACAAAGUGGGCGGAAUUCGUGGUGUAGCGGUGAAAUGCUUAGAUAUCACGAAGAACUCCGAUUGCGAAGGCAGCUCACUGGAGCGCAACUGACGCUGAAGCUCGAAAGUGCGGGUAUCGAACAGGAUUAGAUACCCUGGUAGUCCGCACGGUAAACGAUGGAUGCCCGCUGUUGGUCUGAAUAGGUCAGCGGCCAAGCGAAAGCAUUAAGCAUCCCACCUGGGGAGUACGCCGGCAACGGUGAAACUCAAAGGAAUUGACGGAA